GUCCCUCUGUUUCCUAACCUCUCUCUCUCUCUCUCUCUCGCUAGGGUUUUCAAAACUCCCUUUCGCUGCAAACUCAUCAUUGAUCUAUGAUCACACCCUGUGUUAGGGUUUUCGAAACCCCUUUCAUCCUACCCUCGUCACCGGCUCGGCUUCUCCACCAGUCGCAUAAUAGCUAGUUGGGUUUUUGGGCAGAGGAGGUUUCUAGGGUUUUGACCUUGCUUUGAUGUGGUUUCGACAGUGCAUUCGAGUGUGGAUGAGUAUUUGGCCGACUAGUUCAGUUUGAAUCAAUCCAAGUAUCAAUGGGUGUUGAACGAUUACUAUGAGAGCAAGGGAAUUCUCCACACUCAUCAAUUCCCUUAUUGCCAGCCAAUCAUCAAAAAGUAUUGUUAAUGGAACAAGUGUAGAAAUGACCCCACCUUCAAGUGAAAAUGGAUCCAGCACGAAGGCUAUUGCAUCAAUGAUGUGGGCACAUGAAGCAGACCCAACAAACCUGGAAGGGCUUCUUUCUCUUGGU